UACAGAGGUCCCGAGCGUUGUUCGGAUUCACUGGGCGUAAAGGGUGCGCAGGUGGUUUGGCAAGUUUGAUGUGAAAGCCCCGGGCUUAACCCGGGAAUGGCAUUGAAUACUGCUUGAACUGGAGGGUUGGAGGGGGACUGGAAUUCUUGGUGUAGCAGUGAAAUGCGCAGAUAUCAGGAGGAACACCCGUGGCGAAAGCGGCUCUCUGGGACGGUACUGACGCUGAGACGCGAAAGCGUGGGGAGCAAACAGG
rnacentral:rRNA from 1 species